GCAGGGCAGAAGGCCAGACUGGCACCACCAGCAUGUGCUACAUCUACAAGCCGGAGGACACGAGACCCACGCUCUGGAACCGCACGGUGCGCGCUUGCUGUGAGGGCUGGAGCGGACCCCAUUGCUCGGAGGGAAAGGCGUCUCUCGGCCGCUGCUUCUCCACCUGGCAAUGCCAAGACGUGCCUGGACUG